CCAUUAACCCUUGGUGCCAGUGAUCUCCCAGCACACCGGGAUUAACAGCACUUAAAUGGGCCUGUUAGUACGCCGCCUCGUCUUUGCCUCCCACACCAACUAGCGCAUGUGGAGCUGCCCACAGCUUUACACUCGCCUCGCACACUGGCUCUGUUGUUUUUGUUCUCCAUCCAUACCCCCCCAGGCGAGCCACCCUAAACCUCCUCCAAUAAAUGAUGUUGAAGUAUUCUUAGUAGAGGUUUAUCUGAGAACAUUCUCUAUUUUGUUUUGACCUGUCGGAAUCCAAGGCAAGUGAAGAAUAGAGAUGAACGGGGGUUGGCUUGGGGGGCAAAUUUGAUUGCUUUUGCUCUUUGCGUGAUGAUCACAUGCCCCUUGUGACGCUUAACAAACAGACCACCGCAGAGCGAAAGAUGUCCAUCUCAAAAAUCAAUAAAUAACCGAGUUCCAUCCGAGUUAGCUCACUGUGAGAUAAAAGGAUGGUGAGACCUUGUGGGAGGAGGGUAGUGGGGACAGUCCUUGUAUGGGCACAUAAUGAAUAACGUUGGCAUCCGUUGUUCACCAUCCAUCAAAAGGACACAAUGCAAAAUUAGAGAAACUUCAAGAAAAAGACAAAAGAAGUUGGAGGGGAAAAACAAAGUUGACUUAGGAGAGCUAUAAAUAAUAGAGAUGCACGAUAAUGUUUUUUUUUGGUCCACUGAUAUGAUAACCGAUACCCUCCUGCUUCUCCAAACUGAUAUCACUGACCAAUAUUUUUGUUUUAAAACUACACACUAUAGUUGUAUCGAUAAUAUAUAUAGUUUUGGGGAUAUUUCAUACGCUCAUUUACUUGGCACAGAUGACAUGAGCAAAGACAUAAAACUCAAACACUGCAGGUAGAAUAAUUUUAAAAUCAUGUCACGGUACCAAAAAUGUUAAGAGUGAGGGUGAUUUUUUUCCCCCACACAAUCUCCUGGGGUAGUAGCUCUUGUUCUUCCUGUGUCGAAGCUGUGACAUAAACGGCAGGCACUAAUUCAUAUUCUUAGCAUAUGGUGCAUCAUACGGGGGACAUGGGAAUGCCACCUGACAUUGACAAGGAUAUAAAGCAACACACCAUCAUUGCCCUUUAACGUCUGCCUACUCUAUCUUAAAACAGAUGGGUGCAUAAACCUGACAGCAUUGACUUAUUGUCUUGUGUACCAGUGCAGCAUAAGGAAGGAAAUAAAGUGAAACAGAUUCAGUGAGUAAUUGUAUGUGUUGGUUUUCAUCGUUGUGUUGCUUCAGUUAUGUUGUGUUCAAAGGUAGUCACAAAGAAUGUGUGCUGUUAAAUGGAUGUCACCUCUGUCUAUCUAUCUAGCAAAGUUUGUUUGUUUGUAUGUGUACAAAAAAGAAAAACCCUUCAAACAAAAAUAUAGUUCCAAACCAUGACUCUGGAAUGACUGCCUACCUCUUUUAUCUAAUGGGGCCAUGGGUGGAUGGGAGAACAAUGAGGAUAUAUCAAAAACAUCCCUACCUUCGUCUCCUCCUGUGCCUCCAUGCAGAUCUCAUUGUCUCCUGGAAACAAGCAGAGAGGUAGAAAUAGCAACAAUGUAAACCAUUCAGUCGAAAACAAAAAGUGGCUUCUUUGUCAACACAUCAAAGAAGAAAGCCAACUCUGAGGUAGCCAGUCUGUCAAUCAAGCAAAUGAUCACAGGGGAACCACCAGCCAUCAUUGUUAAGAGAAGACUCAGAAGAAGAGAAGAAAAAAUAUAGCACCGGUAGGUCAACUAGAUUCAAAGUGACAAGACACCAACACCACUAUGUGAUUAGUCACUUUUAUCAGACUGUUUUGUAGCUUUGUUGUGAUUAACCUUUAACUUUUGCGUCAUUGGGGGGGGAAAGAAAUCAUAAAAAUGAGACAAAAAGCUCAUUGUACCUUUGUUAACUGUCAUCAAGUAUUAAGAAAGUAUUAAUAUUACAACGGUAUGAAAGAGUGUUACUUAAAACAUUGCCUGGACUUUAUUACAGGUUUUAUGAUGGUGACGGUUGGAGACUUUUUUUUAGUUCUAUUAUUUCCUGUAGAAAAUAAUUGUUAUGAAAUCUAAACAAACACGUUUGACCUUUGAAGCUGUACACUCACGUCCUAGGAUUGGAGUCUUCAGAUGCCGUGUCCUCCGCCCUAUUGGCUCAAAAUAUCAAGUAAACUUUUCAGGAUUUAAGGGCACACCAUUAGUGAAGGGAAAGCAUCACGCCAAGCCAACACUUGACCCCACAUUAAAGACCUCUGGCUAACUUGGGUCCAGCGAUCAUUCCUAUCAGAUGGUCCUCCGUGCGCGACUGCAUGCCAGACAUGAAAUGCCCUCUCAGGCCAUCAGAGGGAAAUGGAGUGAGAGGACACGCAGGAGACAAGCACACAGAGAUAAUAAGACUAAGACAUCUCGCAGACACGGCAAGGUUUUAUUUGAAUUCAAAAGUUUGUCAUGUUAACAGCCACGUGUGCUUUUGCACUCACACACAAAGUCAGCCCAAUCAAAAAGCAGGCUUCAUGCACACGCACACUAAUAGCUCGAAUGCCCCCCUACUGUCUCCGGGCUCUACGUUUAAACAGAGAUCCUCAAUCAGCGGCUCACACAGCACGGAUAAAUUAGUAACGCUCUGUGACAACGUUAAGCAGGCCUAUCCCUUUAGAUGGACGUGGAUAUAAAAAGCCUGAUUUCGCAUGACAGCUAUCCCCCCGUGACAUUUUGUCUGUUUUAGCCCUGAUUGAACUAUUAAUCACUCUAAUGUGAGAGAUGGCAAGCUGUUUAUGAAUUCCUCUAUUCUGCAUGGGCCGCAUGCCCGAGUCAUUACAGUGGAGCACACAAAGGCGCACCAUAGAGUGUGAGCGCAACAGAAUAACCUGUGCGGAACAAACAGAAUUUGGAUGCAACAGCUUCAGGACACAAACUAGUUUUGGCAAAAAAAAAAAAAAAAAAAGUGUUGACACAAAGUGUAAAUAUCCUGUUCUUGCCACUUCAAUGUUGUUAGUCACCUGAAUAUUGUUAGUCACUUGAUUGUUGUAGAGAGACCGAGAUCAACCAGAGUCAUAUUCCUUGUUUGGCAUGCACAAACUUGGCAAAUAAAGCUGAUU